AUACGUAGGGUGCGAGCGUUAAUCGGAAUUACUGGGCGUAAAGCGUGCGCAGGCGGUUUUGUAAGUCAGAUGUGAAAUCCCCGGGCUUAACCUGGGAACUGCGUUUGAAACUGCAAGGCUAGAGUGUGGCAGAGGGGGGUGGAAUUCCGCGUGUAGCAGUGAAAUGCGUAGAGAUGUGGAGGAACACCAAUGGCGAAGGCAGCCCCCUGGGUCAACACUGACGCUCAGGCACGAAAGCAUGGGGAGCAAACAGGAUUAGAUACCCGAGUAGUCC
rnacentral:rRNA from 1 species